AACGUAGGUGGCGAGCGUUGUCCGGAUUUAUUGGGCGUAAAGAGCGUGUAGGCGGCUUCACAGGUCUGCUGUGAAAACUCGAGGCUCAACCUCGAGAUGUCGGUGGAAACCGUGUGGCUAGAGUCCGGAAGAGGAGAGUGGAAUUCCCGGUGUAGCGGUGAAAUGCGCAGAUAUCGGGAAGAACACCCGUGGCGAAGGCGGCUCUCUGGGACGGUACUGACGCUGAGACGCGAAAGCGUGGGGAGCGAACAGG
rnacentral:rRNA from 1 species